UCAGAGAUCCGCCUGUCUCUGCCUCCAGGGUGCUGGGAUUAAAGGCGUGCGCCACCACGCCCGGCAAUUUAAAAAAAAGAUAUUUACUCUUUCUUAAUACCAGGAACCAUAAAAUAGCAUGUUGUAAGAAGUUGGACUUCGUUUGUUCCAAGUAACCCAAGCAUGAGUCUGUGUUGUCUCAGACCCCUCCAAAGGAGGGCCUAAGAUCAUAAGGAACAAAAUACAGCAGGCAUAUUUCCCAGGCUGCCUGAGAAAGCAGUGUCUGUUUGCUGCUCAAGACACCAUGUACAUUGUUAGUGCUCCUUACAAUAGUUGGGAAAGGCAGAGGCAAGGGAAGAGCUUGGUGAACAAUGUGAGGAACCACAAUCAGAGAUAAUCAGAUUUCAUGAUAUUCACAAGGAACCUACAAUUGCAGAUAAUCUGAUUUCAUCCUAUCAAGAGUCUUGAUAUGCAAAGUCAAACGAAAUGCAAUGUUUUUUUGAGGUGUCAUCUUCUUAAGUGGGUUGUUUUUUAUAAUUUUAAAAUUUACAUGUGUCAAGCUGGGUGUGGUGGCACACGCUUUACUCCCAGUACUUGGGAGGCCGAGGCAGUUCGAUUUCUGUGAGAUCAAGGUCAGCCUGGUCUAUAUAGAGAGCUUCAGGCUGGCUAUAUGGAGAUCCUAUCUCCCAAAACCAAAACAACAACAAAAAGAAAGUAAAAUUACAUGCUUCUAUUUUUUGUGUGUUUGCAUGUAGGUGUGUAUGCCAUGGCACAUGUGUGGAGGUCAGAGGACUACAUAUGGGAGUUGGUUCUCUCCUUCCACAAAUUAGAUUCUGGGGACUGAACUCAGGUCAUCAGGUUUGGUGGCAAGUACCUUUACCUGCUUGAGUCAUCUUGCCUGUCCUUGGGUGAGCGUCUAAUUAGACUAUAUUUCUAUGUUUCCUUGUAACCAGACCACCAUCAAACAACUGUUUGUUCUGUCCUCCAUCAGUAAAUCUUACCAUACAGAGAAUUCAUCUUCAGCUUGAGGCAGUUAUUGGAGUUAAGAAUACAAAUGGUGUGUUUCUAUUUACACAGCAGUUUUUUUGUGAAUCCUACAGGUUGAACAGAGAACUGGUUGUUCCUUGUUAGCAAGUGCACUUAGAAAACACAAGAGUGACUAGGCGAAUAACCUCUGUACACGGAGUUGAAUCAAAGAAUGUUAGAAAAGUCAGCAGUUCAUUUACCUGAGUUUCUCAUUUAAAGGCCAAAUAGCAAUCGAAUGCUUUUUACUCAAGAAUGUGAACAAAAACUUACAAUAUUAAAAAGGACCAGAGUCAGAAAAUUUCAACUCCUCAAAGUUAAGUUUGAGGCUUUGGAAGUUUUAUAAAAUCUAAUAGAAAGAUUAUGAAUUUUCCUCUUAUUUAAAACAUAAAGUCACAGAAUUAUGCUGAUUUAUGGAAUGUUAUUUACAACUCAGGUUGGGGGUUAGCCUGCAAAAUCACUAUGAAAACAAGUCAAAUUAUUUUGGAAGUUUGAACAAGUGAUAAAAUCGAAUGAUUGGUGAUUUAUUUCAGUUAUGAACAUGAGAUUAUUAGCUAAUGCCAGAUGAAGAUUUCAGCAUAAAUAUGGUAACUUGAAUAAAUCCCUUUUGAAGGAUGAUAUAGAAAAUAGUCAUAAAUUUUAACCAUAAGAACAGUGCGUUCAUUGUCUCAGUUUACUUUUUAAUACUAAGUUACUCAUGGUCAAUAACAGAUAAUUUGCCAAUAAAUUGUUUCUUUAAAACAAAUAGGGUUGUAUUUCAGAAUACGACACAUUGCUCUUAUUCAGAACCCCAAUAUUCAGAAAUUAAAUACUUUUCUGUGUUAAGAAUGACAGUCAUGCUAGUAUUUCAAAAUAUUUCAAUUCUAGGUCUAAAUAAAUCAUGACUCAGAAACCUUAGAACAGAAAACGUGUUUUUUUUUUUUCAGUGCCGAGACUGAACUCAGACCCUAGAGCAUGCUGGGCAAACACUUUCUCACUGAGCUGCAUCCUCAUAGCUCUGUAUCUUUACAUUCACAGCUCAGGUGAGGUCCACGUGUCUGCCGAGUGGCCUCCAGAGCUGCCCUCUGCAUACUGCCCAAAGCAACACUGGGCAGCCCUUUUAAAAAACAGUGUUCAGAAACCUCACAUCAUCUUUCUACUUUCUUUCAUUGUUAUAUUAAUUUUUUUCUUAGACCAAUCGUGUAACUACUUAACUCAAGAUCCCAUACUAUACUUUAUUUUAAGAAUACAAAGGUAAAUAAAAGCUUUGCUGACCAUCAGGCAAGAAUUCUUGCUAAGUGACAAUAUUUUGCAGUUUAUUCACAUUUCUGAAAAUGGAAGAGGACUGUCUUAAGUGAGAUAGGAUUUCCUGAGAGCAGAACAGUCCCUGUGUCUCUGUUUCUGACUUUGGCAGCCAGGACAGGCUUGCAGGAAACUGAUGACUCUACAUAUGUAUAUAUGUGGGCUACUUUGUUCAGCAGGCAGAAAUAGAUUCUAUUAUCACUGUGCAGGGCCCAAGGAAGGGAUGGGGCCUGAGUGGAAGAUAUUAGCUCUUUAACAGAGUGCUUUAGUAGCAAAAUUUUUUCCCAUCUGAUGCAUUCGUAUAUCAAGAUUUCAAAAAUGAUUAAAUUACUCAAAAACAGGCUUCUAAUUCUAUGAUUUAAAAUUUAAUUAUCUACUAGAAUAUUAAAAUAAAUCUAAUUUCCCUAGGGCUGUUCUCCAUUACCACAUAGCAGUACUGAGGUGGAAGGGGGGGAAAUCUACUGAAUUUUUAAAUAUUUCUUUAGGAUGUUGGUAAAAAUGCAAAUCAGUUAAACAAUAAAUGAUACACGAAAGGAUGGGAACCACUGAGGAUUGCUUUCUUUACCCACAUAUAAAAGCCUGGCUAAAGAAAACUGAAACUGUCAUGCAGGGGAAAUAAUACCAUUAAUGGUGUUGGCAGCAGGGGCCGGGGCUUAAAAAUAAUACCCUGUGACAAUGCACUUACAUGAACUUCCACUCUAGAGAAGAGCAUUCUAUAGAAUGAAAAGCCUCGGCCAAUGAAGAAAGCAACUGAUGUUAACAUAACUGGCACAGACUCCUUGGUACACACAGUGAAAACAAAAAUAAAGAGCCUGGACAGGUGUAAACAAGCUAAAAACAGCACUGGCAAAAUAUCUUCACCCAUUUAAAAUA